rnacentral:lncRNA from 1 species
AUAAUUUUUAAAUCGUGUGAUGUUUUAAAAGCUGAAAAACAGUUCCCACUUUGCUGUGCUCGUCGGGUGUGAGAAUUUUUUGAAAGGAUUCAGGUAAUGCAAAUUCAAUUACUUCUAUCAGUUCUCAUUAUCAUGUGAGGAAGACAGUAAGUUAUGAGCAGCCUCCUGGAAGCAUCGCAGCGCCUCCCUCUCUGCUCCCCUCUCUCUCUCUCUCGCUGAGCAUUACCUGUGCCAGGCCGUGGCGUGUUACAGCACCAGGCCAUCACUGACAGAAACGUUUACUUAACGAAUGUUCUUAAACCAGUGUGUACUUCAAGUGUCUCCCUUUGUUUCUCUGUGUUGUUUCCUGUGUAUGUGGUUUUGCUUAGGCAGAAAUAACUUAGCAAAGUAUUGCACCUUGUUUUGGUUUUGACCUCUUUUUUUUUUUUUUCUUUCCUUGUAAUGUUGGUUUUUUUAUUUUGGUAUUUAAAGACUUUUUUAAAAAAACAUCAAUGUAGUAGUUCUCUGGGCCGAACAGGAGGCAAUGUUUAAUCCACAGUUAUCACCAAUACGUAUGUACUAUGUUGGAAUCAAAAUAUAUCAAAUUUCUUAUUGUGAAGAGAGUGAAAGUAAACCCGAAGGGGAUCCUCACGUGCUAAAUAGAUGGCGGGCGGGCGGGCGGGCGGGCGGGCGGGCGGGCGUGAUGUGUGCGGGGAACAUGCUAGCACUUGUGUGAUAUCCCAGUCUGCAUCGUACUGUCUGUUCAACAUGAAGUGCCGACAUUCUGUACCAGCAAUUACCUGCCCAUUCCAACCCCUGACGGGAGCAGACCUCUGCUGUCCUCUGUGACUUGCUGCUAUUGAGGACAAGGGAGUUUUUCUUUCUUUAGCAUCUUCAGUGAAGGAUACAACAAUGCCUAAUGUAUUUAACUUUCAGCUUGUGUCUUUGGUGUAGGUGGGUAGAGGGGUAUGGAUAGGAAAAAGCAAACAGACAAACAAAAAACCCAAAAUUGCAUGUAAGUGGCUUUGUAAGACAGUGAGUGGGAAAUUCUGUAGUCGUCUUGGCUUACCUUGUUGGGUAUAAACCUAGCUUCAGAGGAGGCUGACGGGGCACCAUUCCCAUGAGCACCUGUGCUUAACAAUCUGGGCGCCCUUGGCAGGUGGGUAGGCAAAUGAGCGUGCAGUUCUGGUUUGUUCCUGCAACACCUUGUUCUCAUGGACUCUGCCUUCCUCCUGCUCUCUGGUUUCCAUCACCACCACCCCCUCUCACCUCUGCCCUGCAAAAUGUCUCCUUCCAGCCCCACUGACUCUCAGUGUUGGAGCAGAGCUCUGUCGCAGGUGAUGACGUCCAGGUGAAGCGCCGCUUAUAUUCAGACAUCUGCAGACUGAAGGCUGAACUUUAGUGUCCCCAGACUCCUGGGAGCCUGUGGGGACUGUCCACUGCCGCUCUUGGUUCAUGGCCCUGCCUAUCCUCUCCUCUGCCCCUGCUCCUCUUUCUGCCUGUUGGGUCCUUGACCUGCACUAUGGCUUAGUUGAGUUCCUUACGAUACUACGGUGAAAGCCGGGUGCUAGAGCCCCUCUUGUUUACAAGACAUAAAUGAGGGAUUUGAAAUAUGUAAAAAUAAGCAUGAGAAGCUAAAAUGUUCUUCCAUCAUAAGCUUAAAGGGAAAAAAACUAAAAAC